UGGGGAAUCUUGGACAAUGGGGGCAACCCUGAUCCAGCAAUGCCGCGUGAGUGAAGAAGGCCUUCGGGUUGUAAAGCUCUUUUGUCAGGGAAGAAACGGUAGUAGCGAAUAACUAUUACUAAUGACGGUACCUGAAGAAUAAGCACCGGCUAACUACGUGCCAGCAGCCGCGGUAAUACGUAGGGUGCAAGCGUUAAUCGGAAUUACUGGGCGUAAAGCGUGCGCAGGCGGUUGUGUAAGUCAGAUGUGAAAUCCCCGGGCUCAACCUGGGAAUUGCAUUUGAGACUGCACGGCUAGAGUGUGUCAGAGGGGGGUAGAAUUCCACGUGUAGCAGUGAAAUGCGUAGAUAUGUGGAGGAAUACCGAUGGCGAAGGCAGCCCCCUGGGAUAACACUGACGCUCAUGCACGAAAGCGUGGGGAGCAAACAGGAUUAGAUACCCAGGUAGUCCCUGAGCGGGCUGGCAAGGCGCAU
rnacentral:rRNA from 1 species